UAUCCAUUACCUUUUAACUUCAUUCGGUUCGUUAUGAAUUUAAUACUCAUAUUUUUUUACUAUCAGCAUAAAUCAAUGUUUUCAUUGGAAAUGAUCCUUAGUUUUAUUUAACGAGAAUGCAGACAAAGCGAUUUGUAUGAAUUUGUUACCUGACUACGUACCUGAGAGCAUUUACCUAGAAAUUCAUACCUCGAUAAUCGUAUUGGGUCAUUCCUACACGCCUUUUACACUCGCGUGCAUCAUUAAACGUUAAUAUUAUCUUAGUAACUUAACAUUAAGCGUGACAAGUUAACCUGAAUGUCACUAAGGACGGUUUUAAAGACGUACGUAAAUGUGUCGAUAUCUUUGGCCACUUAUCACUAUACGAGUAUAUCAAGGAGUAAACAUUAAAAAACUACAUUUGCUUAUAAGCAACUACGACUGAUACUAAGAAAACUGACAUUUAAUUGUAUAUUCGAACGAAGUAAUAUUGUGAACUUGAUUUUACGAACACGUUUAUCGUACCUAAUUAAAACAAAAUUAUUAUUCUUUUAA